GACGAACGCUGGCGGCGUGCUUAACACAUGCAAGUCGAACGGAAAGGCCCUGCUUUUGUGGGGUGCUCGAGUGGCGAACGGGUGAGUAACACGUGAGUAACCUGCCCUUGUCUUUGGGAUAACUUCAGGAAACUGGGGCUAAUACCGGAUAGGAGCUCCUGCUGCAUGGUGGGGGUUGGAAAGUUUCGGCGGUUGGGGAUGGACUCGCGGCUUAUCGGCUUGUUGGUGGGGUAGUGGCUUACCAAGGCUUUGACGGGUAGCCGGCCUGGGAGGGUGGCCGGCGACAUGGGGACUGAGAUAGGGCGCAGACUCGAACGGGAGGCAGCAGGGGGGAAUAUUGCACAAUGGGCGGAAGCCUGAGGCAGAAACGCCGCGUGCGGGAUGACGGCCUGCGGGUUGUAAACCGCUGUCGCCUGUGACGAAGCGGGAGUGACGGUAAUGGGUAAAGAAGCACCGGCUAACUACGUG
rnacentral:rRNA from 1 species